rnacentral:tRNA from 1 species
GGCUUUAUAUUCAAUAAUGAUAAUAGAAUGCAAUUCUGUAGGAGUAGUAAUACUACUAAGGCUU